AUCCGUAAGUGUCACAAUGAACAAACAUGACAAGGCACUGCAGAUUCAAUCCUCAGCUCUUAGUCAUCUGCAAGCCUGCGGACACUGGAACCCGUUCCUGAUUACAUAGCCGCAAUCUCAGGCGCUGUCUCAGGUCUCAGCAUUACAGGCCAACUGCGUCAUUGUCAAGCACGGCCCCCACCAGCAGGGUGCAUCCAGUCCUCCAUGUGCUUGGAAUUUCCAGCUUCCCUAUGGUUAUCCUCUGCUUUGAAAUGGCUCAGGGGAAAUGCAGGAAACAUCAGAGAAGCCAGUAGCAGUCAAGACGAAAUCAAAUCCAGAAACACACAAAUGACAGCCGUUCACAUUUCGAAUGCAAGAGAAUAUUGCUUGCUUUACCCCAGGGAGGAAAUUGUGGCCUUGAUGAUUUCCACCCCUGUAAGAACUCUUAGUUGACCCCCACCCUGCCGGUUUAACUUGAAACACUACAUACUUUGUCUGCAUUUAUUCAGUUGAUUAAGAUUUAUCUUUGUUUGCUAUUGGCUAACUUUGGCCUGGCCUUUCUGGCCCAGGAACCAUGGCUAAAUUUGCAAUACAUGUGCUGGAAAAGGUAGAACAAGGCCUGGUACGUCAGCAAGCUGCCCAUGGGAGGAAGUCUUCUGGCAGACUUUGACCCCAUUAGCAAGAGAUUUCGCUGUCCAAGUUGGUCAUUUGGGAACUGCUAUAAUUACUCUGGCAAAUAAAGAAG
rnacentral:lncRNA from 1 species